rnacentral:misc_RNA from 1 species
AGUUGCCACAGCCCCAGGAUC